CGUCGUGAGGCGGAAUCUGAAGGAAGCCGGAAUAGGGGCUGAAAGUUCCCCGAAUGGGCAAAGCUCUGGUCUGACGAACAGAAAUCGCAUAUAAGGCCGGAGGCGAGGGUAAGUUUGCAUAGCAAAACAAAGCCCAAUCGCUACACGGAAUCGCUUUUCGGUAAAUGCGGCAGGUAAAGAGGAAAAGAAC
rnacentral:ncRNA from 1 species